AGUGAACUCCAGGAAUGUCACUGACAGCAUGACCUUUGCAACCAAACCCAGCAACCAGAACCUCAUCAUUUUCCUCAAUAAAAUUCAAACAACCAUCAUUGAGAUCAGAAGAGCA